CCCAGGCACAUCUCCCACUUCAUGCACAACGUCCCCUUCCCGUCGCCGCAGCGCCCGCGCAUCCUGGUGCAGAUGUCCCCCUAUGACAGCGUCCUGCUCUGCCGCCCCGUUGCCUCCCCAUUGCCGCUCAGCGGCGCCAGCUUCCUGAGCCUGCUGCGCGCCGUGGGGCCGGGCACGGCCGUGGCGCUGCUCGUGGCCGUGCUCACGGAGCACAAAGUGCUCCUGCACUCGCUGCGCCCCGAUG